AACACAUGCAAGUCGAGGGGAAACGACGUUGAGUGCUUGCACUCUUCGGACGUCGACCGGCGCACGGGUGAGUAACGCGUAUCCAACCUUCCCAUAACUAAGGGAUAACCUGCCGAAAGGCAGACUAAUACCUUAUGUAAUUCUUAGAUGACAUCAGAAGAGAAUGAAAGAUUUAUCGGUUAUGGAUGGGGAUGCGUCUGAUUAGCUUGUUGGCGGGGUAACAGCCCACCAAGGCAACGAUCAGUAGGGGUUCUGAGAGGAAGGUCCCCCACAUUGGAACUGAGAUGCGGUCCAAACUCCUACGGGAGGCAGCAGUGAGGAAUAUUGGUCAAUGGGCGAGAGCCUGAACCAGCCAAGUAGCGUGCAGGAUGACGGUCCUAUGGGUUGUAGACUGCUUUUGUAUGGGGAUAAAGUCAAUCACGUGUGAUUGUUUGCAGGUACCAUACGAAUAAGGACCGGCUAAUUCCGUGCCAGCAGCCGCGGUAAUACGGAAGGUUCGGGCGUUAUCCGGAUUUAUUGGGUCUAAAGGGAGCGUAGGCCGGAGAUUAAGUGUGUUGUGAAAUGUAGACGCUCAACGUCUGACUUGCAGCGCAUACUGGUUUCCUUGAGUACGCACAACGUUGGCGGAAUUCGUCGUGUAGCGGUGAAAUGCUUAGAUAUGACGAAGAACUCCGAUUGCGAAGGCAGCUGACGGGAGCGCCACUGACGCUUAAGCUCGAAGGUGCGGGUAUCGAACAGGAUUAGAUACCCUGGUAGUCCGCACAGUAAACGAUGGAUGCCCGCUGUUGGUACCUGGUAUCAGCGGCUAAGCGAAAGCAUUAAGCAUC
rnacentral:rRNA from 1 species